GGGAUUGCCUUAGUAGCGGCGAGUGAAGCGGCAAAAGCUCAAAUUUGAAAUCUGGGGUCUUCGACCUCCGAGUUGUAAUUUGAAGAAAGUAUCUUUGGAAAUGGCCUUUUCCUAAGUUCCUUGGAACAGGACUUCAUAGAGGGUGAGAAUCCCGUAUGGAGAGGUGACUAUUUCUAUGUAAAGUGCUUUCGACGAGUCGAGUUGUUUGGGAAUGCAGCUCUAAGUGGGUGGUAAAUUCCAUCUAAAGCUAAAUAUUGGCGAGAGACCGAUAGCGAACAAGUACAGUGAUGGAAAGAUGAAAAGAACUUUGAAAAGAGAGUGAAAAAGUACGUGAAAUUGUUAAAAGGGAAGGGCUUCAGAUCAGACUUGAUGUUUUGUGAUCCAUCAUCCUUUUUGGUUGGUGCACGCACUUUUCAUUGGGCCAACAUCGAUUUGAGUGGUAGGAUAAUGCCAUUGGAAUGUAGCUUCAUUCGUGAAGUGUUAUAGACUUUGGUGAUACUGCCCAUUCGGAUCGAGGACUGCGUCUUUUGACUAGGAUGUUGGCGUAAUGAUCUGAAGCCGCCCGU
rnacentral:rRNA from 1 species